CUCGUGAGAAUUCUACCGAAGCGGAUUCAACUUGUGGCUGAUCAAUGUCGUCGCCAGUCGUAGAAAGGUUCGAGAGGACAAAUGAUAAGGAUUUGGCAAAGAUUACAAGACGAGGAUGUUCACUAAUACUGCAUUGAACAUGUUCAGUGGAUUUUAGUUUAGCAACAACAUCAUGAGGACGGGAUCGUGCUACAUCAGAACACAUCUCAUGAGAAGAGAGAAAACUAAUCGUUACAAGGAAUUGUCUUGGAUAUAAAACGAAGAAACGAAAGUAUUUGUAAAGCGAAUACAGAACCAGCGAGAUUCAACAACGACUUGGUCUUAAUAUAUUUGGAGUACUAAAGGUUAUACCGAAGUUUACGAUUGAC
rnacentral:lncRNA from 1 species